CUCCGCCCCGCCCCUCACCGUCGCGGCGGGCCUGCGGGCCGCUCCCGGGGCCUUCUGGUGGGCGGCGGACCGGCCGCCGGGCCGCCUCGCCCCGAAACGCGGCCUGACCGGCCCUGCGGCGGUGGGCGGCCCCCUGCCCUGCCCUGCCCGGCGCUCCCAGGGCCGCCUCUCGGGCGGGCCGCGGCGGCCGUGCCGCUCGCCAGCAGCGGCUCCUGCCCGGGCCCGGCGCGGGGCCGCAGCCUACCUGGCGCCCAGGGCCGCGGCGGGCAGCCGGAGGGGUUUUCAUGGGGACCGGCCCUUCGCCCCGCGCGUUUCUGCGGUGCCACUGCUCGUCUUCCAACCCUUGAGUAAUGUUCGGGUGAUUUGGGAAAGUGGUUGGUCGUCGUGUUCUUACAAAGAGGCCCGAGAGUGUGCAGGCUUGGUGGACUGUCCUGUGUGCUCCCGCUUCUGGCUUGAAUUGGCUGACAGGCAAUACCCAAGAGGGCAUUUGGUGGAAAACCUGCAAGUAGUCAAGACUUGUUCAACAACUGCCAGACCACAGAGAAGUGUCAUCUUCUGAACCAUCACUGUUAAAUCCCAGGAUAUCUAGAAGACAAGCAGCAACCUUAACUGUCAUGAAGAGCAUUUUCUAGUUAAUGAAAUAUGCACAAUCUAGACAAGGAGGAAAUUCAGUAAGCCAUACCAGAAAUUUUCAGAGAAAACUCUGUGUAAGCCCUUAACCGUAGGGAAGAAAAAAGUUAAAUAAUCUCUAAGCAUUCCGAUGAACGUGUGAUACAGUGUCAGCAAAUCCAACAGUUUGGUGCAUCAUUCAUAGAUUUUCAAGAACAGUUCAUAGCUUCAGACUGACAACAAAAGGGAAACGUUAGUAAGAUUAUGUUCUCCACAAAUCAGAUGGGUACUUUUUUUCUAAGUAGGGUUUGGCAAAUGUAUCAUUACACAACAGGACUUUUUCAGUUACAACAAUGUAAGACAAACUUCCAUUCAUUAGGGGAGCCAUAAAGUAUUGCUAUGGGUAGAGCUUUUCCAUGUGGCUAAGAUCCCUAUGUUCCCUUGGAGUCCAAUAAAUUAAAUUCAUUUGGGGAGAGGAUGAUUUUGCUCAUAGGGUGGAUACACAUUUGGGAUUUCUUAGUUUGACAGUGGCAAGUACACAGGGUAAGAUCCAAAUUCCCUAUUCACGCUCGGGGAUCAUGUUAUGCAUAAAUUCAAAGAAAAUAAAAUACAGGAACAUGAA